ACCGAUCAGUGGCUGAAACGUUGAAUACAUUGCAACAUGUAGGCUGCAUACUACUCAUAUUGUAAUCUUUUUUUGUUAGGGCUACUCUUAUAUAAUAUGUGACUUAUUUUAAUUUGUCAAUCACUUUAGUGAGCUACAUAACCAUUCGAAAAUGUCAUGGGGUCACGGCAUUAGUUUUUGAAGAGCCAUUGACUUGAUGAAUCUGACCUCUACAAGUACUUUCUUUUCAUUUUUUAGUAUUCACUGCCCAUAUAGUAACUCACAAGUAAUUCAGAAAUUAUAAUAAUUAAUUCUUUCUUGUUAAGUUUUAAUAACUACAUUUCCAAUGUGUCUUGAACUGUUUUAUUUGCUUAUCGGCUUUAUAACCUCAUUCUGUUGUAUUUUGUUGAAUUCUUGCCGGCGUCCUACAAACUAUCCACCAGGUCCGAAGUGGCUUCCAUUUGUCGGUAAUACGCCAUUGCUGAAGAAGCUUAGUAGGAAAUUGGGAGGGCAGCACAAUGCACUUUCAUAUUUGGCAGAAAAAUAUAACAGCAAUAUUAUUGGACUCAAACUUGGCAGUCAGCUUUUUGUAGUUGUAAACUCAGAAUCGCUCAUCAAGCAAGUGUUUGCCAGAAAUGAAUUUCAAGCCAGGCCAGACAACUUUUUCAUACGUCUCCGCUCAAUGGGAGAAAGGAAAGGUAUUACAAUGACGGAUGGCCCACUUUGGCAGGAGCAGCGUUUGUUUGCACUGCUUCACCUACGUGAUUUAGGGUUUGGCAAACAAGCCAUGGAAAAGUUGAUACUGGAUGAGUUAGAGAAGAUGCUGUGUAAGCUUGGUUCGGGCGGUGCAGUGGUGUGGAACGCGGUGUUGGCACCAAGCGUGCUGAACGUGCUGUGGACGCUGGCGGCAGGGACGCCAUUCGGCGACGAGCAAGAUGCGACUCUGACGUCACUGCUGCGACUGAUGGAUGAGCGUAGUCGCGCCUUCGACAUGGCCGGCGGAGUGCUGAGUCAGCUGCCUUGGCUCAGGCAUGUCGCGCCCGAGCUCACCGGAUUCACGCUCAUACAGAACCUCAACACUCAGCUGUCGCAACUGCUCAAGGAUACAAUACACAUGCACAAGAAAACACUUCAAGAAGGUGUGGUUAGAGACUUUAUUGAUGUAUUUCUCCAUCAGAUGUCAGUGACUAAUGGUGGACCAACCACAUUCACAGAAGAUCAAUUGAUCAUGGUAUGCUUGGACUUUUUUAUCGCCGGGUCGCAGACAACGAGCAAUACUCUCAAUUUUGCUCUGAUAAAUAUGGUUCUGCAUCCGGAAAUCUGCAAGAAGGCGCAGGAUGAAAUAGACCAUGUGCUUGGUGACAGAAAAAUAUCAGCAAUGGCUGACAAAAACAGGGAACAACAGUAUUGAUUAAUGUCAGAGACGUUCAUCACAACUCUGAGAAAUGGGAAAUUCCGGAAGUAUUUCGUCCUGAAAGAUUUCUGGAUUCUGAUGGCAAGUUCUGUCCCCAAGAAUUGUACCUGUUCAGUUGUGGGAAGAGGCGAUGUCUUGGAGAACCUCUUGCCAAAAACUUUGUAUUUUUAUUUUUCGUUAGUAUUCUUAAAAAUUACACAAUGAGUCCUUCUCCUGGAGAGCCAACACCUACGUUAGAUCCAACUCCGGGAAUAACACUUUCUCCGAAAGCCAACUGUAUUCUUCUAAAUCCACGUUAGUUUAUUUAAUUGCAAAUACUGCAAAUUUCAUUAGUGACGAGACAAUUUUCGUCUAGUUUCAAAGUUUUUACAUUUUACUUCUGUAUUUAUAGUAUAUACUUUGGAAAAACUGAUAGAUUUGUUGUUACGUAGUGAAUUUAUGUUAUGCAUAGCCUACAGUAGAAUUUAUUUUUGUGCUAAUUAUUAUGUUCUCAAUAAGUCUUUGGCUAAUUAGGGUGGCUACUAAUGACAAGACUGUGCUGUACAUGUGUGUAUAGUGACGUCCACGUUAUAGUGGAGAAAGAUAGAACAGCGUUGCCGAUUCUCUGCCUUGCCACUGCCUUCUAUAGUAUAUAGCUGAUACCAGUACGUAUAUGUAAUGUAAUAUUAACAGUUCAUUCUUGUUGAAAAUUAUAAAUUUUAUUUUAUUCGUCAAGAAAAUAUAUUUUCUAUAUAUUCAAUAAUAAAUUUCAUAAUUUAGAUUUUCAUAUUUUGUUAAUCUAUAAUAUUAUAAAGGAAGGAAUAGGCUUAUACAUGAUAUACAUAUGAAAUAGGGAUAUGAAAUACAUAUAUGACGCAUCAUCACGUCUGAACCACUCAAUUGAUCAACUUGGAAUUUUUUAUUAAGAUUCUUGUUUCACCGAGGAUGGCUAUAGGCCUAUUUCCAGUUCGUCAAGUUUUCAGUUCAUCAAGUUUUCAAUUCGUCAAGUUUCCAGUUUGUUAUACUUUGAGAAAGGUCAUAGAUUGAAUUGUGUAUUCAAAGGUUUAUAAUAUUCUAUCCAUAUCUUCUCCUUUCUCUAUGAAUAAUUUAUAAAGGAACUAUUUAUAAAAGAAGAAAUUUGCUUAUACAUGUAUGGGAUACGAAAUGCAUGUUUGAUGCAUCAUGGCGUCAGAGCUACUGAACUGAUUAACUUGAAAUUUGGCAUAAAGAUUUAUAAUUUACCGAGGAUGGUUAUAUAGAACUAUUUUUGUUUUUGUUCAUUAAUUAUAAUUUCAAUAAUUGAAACAAAUUUAUUAAGUUUAAGUGAGAUGUAAGCCCAAUAAAAUAGUUUUUAUUGUAACUUAUUACUUCCAAUAUCAGGAUGGAACUGAAGCUGAAUUCAAUCUAUUUGUGCUUUAAACAAACCCUUGCGGGCGGAGCACGGCUUACCUGCUAGUUAAUUAUAUUUUUACAUUGUUGAAAAACGAUCUAUCAAAGUUGAAGAGGUAGAAAAGGAUAGUGUUAUCUGCUUUGUCGAAUGAGAGACAAGGAUAGCAACACCAAUGAUAAUCAAAUCCUGUUAUUAUAACGUAAACCUCACUAUACACACAUGCUCGUCAUGCAUGUUGUGCCAUCAGCGGGAGGCUUCGAACAAAAAACAGCUGUUCGACAGCAGCUUCUAACAUAAAAAAAACCAAUAACAAUAAAUAAACCACUGGAUAAUGAUAAAAAAUAAUUUAAUCUCAAAUAAAGCAGCGAAGAAAAACUAAACAACAAAAAUCGAAGAUACAAAAACCUUACCUCAAAAAAUGUUAUCGAAACCUUUCACUGUGAUGACACGACAAUGUAUGGCACAUGUUCAUCACACUUGUCCUGUCGUUAUUGGCCAUCCUUAGAAAUUACGUUAUGAAUGGCACAAAUAGUUUUAGAAUGCUGUACAAGUAAGGGGAAAUUAUUCGCUGCCAAUAUUCAAUUCUAUUUCUGUUCACUGCUAAAGAUGAGUGAAAAUAGUUUUUUCAUGUUAUUCUCAUGUGAUCUAAAGUUUUGUGAAUACUUUUUUUAACUAGUUAGGCCUAACAAUGAAUUAUUUACCGUACAGUAUCAUUUUUGUGAGUCACAAAAUAGUUACCGUAAUAAUAAGUAUUGUAGUUUUAUACUAUUUGUGUGGUAGGCUCUCUACAUUUUCUCGCAAUAAAUCACAAAACUGUGAUUUGUCGAUAUCUAGUUCCUUAUUCUGGUAGAAUGGUGGUACUAGAUUAGUAGAGGUAUCAUGGUGCUAAAUCAGUUUAUAAAAAAUCCCAAGUUAUUAGAAAUUGUUGUAGCUUCCACACAAAUAACGUGCAUAAAUUUCUCAUGUGUUGAUAGAAUAUAAUUAUUAAACAUUGGUUUAUUUAUUCAUGAGUUAUCAAAUAGUCGUCAUAAAUUUAUUCUUAAUAUAUUAUGAUGAGUCUUACAACUCAACUUUGUAAAAGUUUAUGAAAUAAAUAUUAUUAAACCUCUCUUAAAUUAAUA
rnacentral:misc_RNA from 1 species